rnacentral:rRNA from 1 species
GACGAACGCUGGCGGCGUGCCUAAUACAUGCAAGUUGAGCGCUGAAGGUUGGUACUUGUCCAAACUGGAUGAGCAGCGAACGGGUGAGUAACGCGUGGGGAAUCUGCCUUUGAGCGGGGGACAACAUUUGGAAACGAAUGCUAAUACCGCAUAAAAACUUUAAACACAAGUUCUAAGUUUGAAAGAUGCAAUUGCAUCACUCAAAGAUGAUCCCGCGUUGUAUUAGCUAGUUGGUGAGGUAAAGGCUCACCAAGGCGAUGAUACAUAGCCGACCUGAGAGGGUGAUCGGCCACAUUGAGACUGAGACACGGCCCAAACUCCUACGGGAGGCAGCAGUAGGGAAUCUUCGGCAAUGGACGAAAGUCUGACCGAGCAACGCCGCGUGAGUGAAGAAGGAUUUCGGAUCGUAAAACUCUGUUGGUAGAGAAGAACGUUGGUGAGAGUGGAAAGCUCAUCAAGUGACGGUAACUACCCAGAAAGGGACGGCUAACUACGUG